AUUUUUUAUAAGUGAUAAUUUUUUUCUUCUAAAAUAUCGGUUUGAAAUAUUUCGAAUAAAAUAUUCGAAAAAUAUUGUUUUUUUUUUUUUAUUUUUGAAAUUCGAUAACAUUUGUUUUAAACAGUGGAACUCUUUCGUAAACAAUAACAAAGCGUAGUAAUAAAAUUAAUGGUUUCAGCAAAUAAAUAUUCUUUUAGAUAUAACUACUGUUAUAAAAUUGUCAUCCAUUAAAUUAUUGGUAGGUUUAAAAAAGAAUAAAGCAUCUCAUUUACUGCAGAAAGAACUGGGUUAUAUGUGGGUGCAUUCUAGAAAUCCCAUCAUCUUAAUUCAUAAUUGGUGUUUAUUCCGGUAGUUCAAAACCAAAUUCAUCAAAUGAUUUUCUUCUGAUUAAUGUCGAUACGUAAAGGUGGUUGGGAGCGAGCGAAGGAGUUAGAGAAGAAAAUACAUGAUGAAGAUAAACUGUUAAAGAAAAUACAUAAAAUCAUUUCAUUUUUUACUGUCACGAACAAGGUUGAUGCUACUGAUAAUAUUACUCUCAAUUCCCCACCAUCCUCAUGAACAUCUCAGCUAGGUAUUGAUCACAAGGAAGAGGCUGCACAAAUUGCAUUUGAACUUAGAAAUACUCAAAAAUUUGAAGUGGUCAGUUAUAUAAUAAUGCCAGCAUAAUGUCUGGUAAAUAUAAUGGCAUACAACAAAUCCUGAAAAACAAAAACAGUUUAGUGGACUACAUUCCUUGUGCUACCCACUCGUUGAACCAAGUUGACCAGUCAGCUAUGGAUUGUUGCGUUGAAGCAGUUUCAUUUUUUAACAUAUUGAAUUGCCUAUAUACUUUCUUUUUAGCAUCAACACAUUAUUUUGGAUGUCAUGAUAACCCAUGUUAAAAACCAACCAGAGUGCCUUGUUCCAAAAUACCCAUCAGAUAUCCGGUGGUCUGCUCGAGCUGAUGCUGCAAAAGCAGUGUUCAAGGGGUACCACCAAAUGCUCUUCAGGAGAUCUCAGGGGAUUGUAAUCAAAAUGGUAGCACAAGGUAUGAAGCGGGUUCAUUGGCCAAACACAUGGAUACUAUUGAAGUUGCCCUAUUGUGUGAACUUUGGAAUGACAUUCUGCAGAGGUUCAACAUUAAUAGCAAGUUAUUGCAAAGUUCUACAAUCAAUUUAACUCCAGUUAUUGGUCUGCCGAAGAGCUUGCAUAUAUUUUUGGAUGAAUCCCGAGAGAAGUUUGAUGAUUAUAAUCAGAAGGCAGGUGAUCGCUGUGGCAACAGCACGUAUAAAUCUGAAAGUCGAAAACAACCAAAACGUAAGACACAAAUCAAUGAUGGAGAUGCCGCAGAUGCUAUGGAAGGGAUGUCAAGCCAGCAAAACUUCAAGGUUAAUACCUACUAUUUCAUCAUCGAUCAGCUGAAAAAUACAUUAAAGAAACGCAUUAAAACUUACUCAAUUGUGCUGCAGAGAUUUGGAGUUCUGACUGAGUAUGGCUCCAUGACCGAUGAAGAUAUUGACAUUGCUUUUAAAGGAAUGGUUACUGUGUACUGUGAAAGACCUUUGUUCUGAUUUUCCAACAGAACUUCGACAAUUAAUGUGCUGGUAUAAAAAACAGAGAAACUACGAAGAAGGAUCAAGUGCACAGAAUCAAGUUGAUUCAAGUGCUCAGAAGAUGUUUAAAAUGUUGCACGAUUCUGGUGUAUAUCAAGCAUUUCUAAAUACUGAUAUAGCACUCCGGAUCUACUUAUGUCUGAUGUCAACCAAUUGUUCAGGAGAACAUUCGUUUUCUCAAUUGAAAAGAAUUAAAGAUGCAAAACGAUCAACAAUGGCUCAACAGUGUCUUUCUGUACUUUCACUUCUAUGCAUUGAAAGUGACUUGCUCAACAAAGUCAACUUCAAAGAACUAAUUGACAAAUUUGCAGUUAUAAAAGCGCGAAAAUUUUAAAUAAUGUAGUUUUUGCCUAAUAAAUAUUCUUUUUUAAA
rnacentral:lncRNA from 1 species